UACAGAGGAGCCAAGCGUUGUCCGGAUUGACUGGGCGUAAAGCGCACGCAGGCGGUUGCGCGCGUGGGGUGUGAAAUCUGGCCGCUUAACGGCCAGGCGCCAUCCCAUACGGCGCGACUGGAGUGAUGCAGAGGUCGAUGGAAUUGCCGGUGUAGUGGUGAAAAUGCGUAGAGAUCGGCAGGAACACCCAGGGGGGAAACCAGUCGACUGGGCAUCUACUGACGCUGAGGUGCGAGAGCGUGGGGAGCGAACCGG
rnacentral:rRNA from 1 species